AUUGAACGCUGGCGGCAUGCCUUACACAUGCAAGUCGAACGGUAACAGGUUAAGCUGACGAGUGGCGAACGGGUGAGUAAUGUAUCGGAACGUGCCCAGUCGUGGGGGAUAACUGCUCGAAAGAGCAGCUAAUACCGCAUACGACCUGAGGGUGAAAGCGGGGGAUCGCAAGACCUCGCGCGAUUGGAGCGGCCGAUAUCAGAUUAGGUAGUUGGUGAGGUAAAGGCUCACCAAGCCGACGAUCUGUAGCUGGUCUGAGAGGACGACCAGCCACACUGGGACUGAGACACGGCCCAGACUCCUACGGGAGGCAGCAGUUGGGAAUUUUGGACAAUGGGCGCAAGCCUGAUCCAGCCAUGCCGCGUGCGGGAAGAAGGCCUUCGGGUUGUAAACCGCUUUUGUCAGGGAAGAAAAGGCUCUGGCUAAUACCUGGGACUCAUGACGGUACCUGAAGAAUAAGCACCGGCUAACUACGUGCCAGCCGCCGCUGUAACAC
rnacentral:rRNA from 1 species